rnacentral:tRNA from 1 species
UGGGGUAUAGCUCAGUGGUAGGGCGCGUGCCUAGCGUGCUUGAGACCCUGGGUUUCACCCCCAGCACUGUAA